rnacentral:lncRNA from 1 species
UCCCAUCACGUUUUCCCCCCAAUAAUCUAACCAGGUUCCCAGACAUUUUGUCUUUAACACUUCUAGCAUGAAAGUAACAUAACCUGUAAUUUUUACUCUUUGUGCCUACUGAAAUUUAAUGGUUAUAAGCUAUUUGAUUAUACUGGGAUAUUCUGGUAUAUGUGACUAACUGUAAAAAAUGAACUUUACUGUUAUAAGAAAAGGGGGUAAUCAAUUUUCCUGUUAGCAUUUAAACUUUAUUAACCUAAAGUAACCAUAUUUAAAGUAAGUUCAUAACUAAAUUUUAUUCAUAAUAGAAAUAUGAAUAUUCUAAUACAUACUGAAAGACAAUAAACAUACAUUUAAAAUCUUAUUAGUAAUGUGGAAUGUCAGCCUAAUUUGCUUGACAUUUUCUAUGCUAUCUUUCUCACACUGG